rnacentral:rRNA from 1 species
UACGUAGGGCGCAAGCGUUGUUCGGAAUUAUUGGGCGUAAAGGGUGCGUAGGCGGCCUGACAAGUCUGAUGUGAAAUCCCUGGGCUCAACCCAGGGCCUGCAUCGGAAACUGUCGGGCUUGAGUAUGGGAGAGGUGAGUGGAAUUUCCGGUGUAGCGGUGAAAUGCGUAGAUAUCGGGAGGAACACCAGUGGCGAAGGCGAUCAUCUGGGGUUGUUCUGACACUGAGGAGCGAAAGCUAGGGGAGCAAACGGG